rnacentral:sRNA from 1 species
CUACGGGAGGCAGCAGUGGGGAAUUUUCCGCAACGGGCGAAAGCCUGACGGAGCAAGACCGCGUGGGGGAAGAAGGCUCUUGGGUUGUAAACUCCUUUUCUCUGGGAAGAACAAAAUGACGGUACCAGAGGAAUCAGCAUCGGCUAACUCCGUGCCAGCAGCCGCGGUAAGACGGAGGAUGCAAGCGUUAUCCGGAAUGAUUGGGCGUAAAGCGUCCGCAGGUGGCAGUUCAAGUCUGCUGUCAAAGACCGGGGCUUAACCUCGGAAAGGCAGUGGAAACUGAACAGCUAGAGUAUGGUAGGGGCAAAGGGAAUUCCUGGUGUAGCGGUGAAAUGCGUAGAGAUCAGGAAGAACAUCGGUGGCGAAGGCGCUUUGCUGGACCAUAACUGACACUCAGGGACGAAAGCUAGGGGAGCGAAUGGGAUUAGAUACCCCAGUAGUCCUAGCCGUAAACGAUGGAUACUAGGUGUUGUCUGUAUCGACCCGGACAGUGCCGUAGCUAACGCGUUAAGUAUCCCGCCUGGGGAGUACGCAGGCAACUGUGAAACUCAAAGGAAUUGACGGGGGCCCGCACAAGCGGUGGAGUAUGUGGUUUAAUUCGAUGCAACGCGAAGAACCUUACCAGGACUUGACAUGUCGCGGAUCCUUUGGAAACAGAGGAGUGCCUUCGGGAGCGCGAACACAGGUGGUGCAUGGCUGUCGUCAGCUCGUGUCGUGAGAUGUUGGGUUAAGUCCCGCAACGAGCGCAACCCUCGUGUUUAGUUGCCAUCAUUAAGUUGGGAACUCUAAACAGACUGCCGGUGACAAACCGGAGGAAGGUGGGGAUGACGUCAAGUCAGCAUGCCCCUUACGUCCUGGGCUACACACGAACUACAAUGGUAGGGACAGAGGGCAGCCAACUCGCGAGAGAGAGCUAAUCCCGUAAACCCUGCCUCAGUUCAGAUUGCAGGCUGCAACUCGCCUGCAUGAAGGCGGAAUCGCUAGUAAUCGCAGGUCAGCAUACUGCGGUGAAUCCGUUCCCGGGCCUUGUACACACCGCCCGUCACACCAUGGAAGUUGGCCACGCCCGAAGUCAUUACUCUAACCUUUCGAGGGGGAGGAUGCCGAAGGCAGGGCUGAUGACUGGGGUGAAGUCGUAACAAGGUAGCCGUACCGGAAGGUGUGGCUGGAUCACCUCCUUUUAGGGAGACCAUCUGAAGACAGACCGAACCUAAACAAUCAAGGUCUAGAAGCAGUCAUCCCUGGUCGUUCGAGAUAAUAGAGUCAGAGCUUUCAAACUAUUAACAGGUUCAGGUAACGGGCUAUUAGCUCAGUUGGUUAGAGCGCACCCCUGAUAAGGGUGAGGUCCCUGGUUCAAAUCCAGGAUGGCCCACCUGGAAACAAGUGAUGAAAUUUCAGUGCUGGGUGAAGGAAGCAAAAAUCCCCAAGGCAGCAUAGAAAAAUCACGCACUAGCUUAGUGGGGGUAUAGCUCAGUUGGUAGAGCGCCUGCCUUGCAUCGCAGGAAGUCAGCGGUUCGAGUCCGCUUACCUCCACUCUCACUCAACCAAGCCAAGAAUUAACAUAGAUUAAGUAGAAAUCAGCACCUAGACCAGCCGAAAGCUAGUCAGAAUGCUGGAGUCACGACUCUAGUAAGAACCUUGAAAACUGCAUAGAAACAAAGUAAUCAUCAAGCAGGUGAAGCAACUGAGAAAUCAGCAUGGGUCGCCAAAGACCAUCAGUAAAUGAUGUUGGUCAAGUUACAAAGGGCUAACGGUGGAUACCUAGGCACACAGAGGCGAAG